rnacentral:lncRNA from 1 species
CUUCAUCGGAGGCCUUGGUACUUGCAAUUUUUCCACUCAAGCAUGCUGGAAAACUGAAGUUUGAAAACAUUUGAGAGGAUCAUGGAACCAUAAUCAAAUUUAAUAAGUUUUCAUGCCCACAAAUAUGAGCUCUGAGUUUGAAGGGAUGAUUGAGCUAAGCAUUUCAGGUGCAUGUUAAAUUUAGAAUGCGUUUGGUAGUGAUUUUAGGAAGUGUUUCUAUCAUUUCUAAUACUUGAAAAUUUUUAUUUUUUUAAGUAUUAGAAAUAUUAUAAACACUUUUUACAAUCAUUGCCAAAACGCACUUUUAUCUUACUGGUAGGCACCUCAACAAGUUAUGGGUUACUCUCCUUCCCAAGAUGAGACUCAGUUGUUCGAGAAUUAGGUUCAUAGAAGAUUGAUGGAGCAUGAAAAUAGACAGCUGUUCGAGAAUGCAGAUGAAUUGGACCUUGUAUGGCAUAGAAUGGAUAAGAAAACUGAUAAAAGAAGCCAUGGAUGGAACACUGACUAGGGUGGAGCUGGGUUGCAGUAGGUUCCCAAGUUUGUAAACUUCCAGUUAUUGCCUACUUGCAUGCACUGAUUGCUUUUAGGCCUGCAUUGACUGCAAACAGAACAGGUCAUUGGAUUAUAGAGAAUCUGAAAGUAAGCCAUGAUUGACAAAU